AUCUUUUUCUAGUUCACAAGCAUGAUAAUUCGGUGUUCACACUUUUGUGAGAUUUUUGCCUUCCUUAAAUCUUGUUAUAAUGUUGACACAUUUUUACUGGAGUGAGA